ensembl:lncRNA
AUGGAAAUGAGGAAGAAGACUUGCUAGUGUAGCGUGAGGAAGGACGUAAUGGUCACCUAUUGAUUACGUAUAGGGGGCCAAAUCAGGAAGAGGAUAUUUAAAUGAACGGCUCUUGCUGCGUAAUGCGAUUGGUUGUAAUACCCGCCCUGUUGUUGGCAUUUUGUGGGCUCAACGUGCUGCAGGUCAGAGCGAUCGGACGCGUUGGCCGCUUAGUGGUGUCGGUGUACCAGUUGCAGUUCACUUAUGCAGGGGAAAAUCCUUGUAUCAUCGGCCAGGCAGGACGUGCCGGGAUUUCUAAACGAGCUGGGAUAUUGUGCACCAGGGUGAACCGUGUGUUUAGCGGUCCAGGCGGCUCUGUUGCUUUGGUUCAUUUUUUUUUUGUUUUAUUUAGUUUUUUUUGGCAGUUAUUUUGUUUGUUUUUUGUUGAUCUUCAAUUAAUUUUUAAUAAUUGUGAUUUUGAAUUUGUUAUUUGUUUAUAUUGUCUUCCCUUCUUUGUUUGGCUGAGCCCUAUUUGGGUUUGGUGCAUGUGUGUGUGACUAAGGGAGAUUUUUUUUCCCGUGUUGCAUUCAGUGAGUUCUUUUGUGUGUGUAUUUUUCUUUGGAAGUGUUAUGUAUGAGACAAUGGGAGUCUGUUUCUCCUGUUCUUGAAUACUGCUCCUCUGCAUUAAAUUUUUUGGGGAUUCCUGGUCAUUUUAGCCAGUAAUUCCCCUUCGUUUAUUUAGUUUUCUCCUUUUUUUUGUGGAUUAUUUGGAGUGGGUGUGUGGUAAUUGUAAUAACCUCUUGUGUGUUGUAUUUUCAUGCAGGAGCUGAGGGCCAUUCACAUGGGUGUCCUGGUGCUGUGGUAGUGGGUCUUUGUUCACCUGAGAGUGCUGUGUUUCACUUGUGUUGUGUGGUGGGGUGUAAGUAUGGAGUGAUUUGGUGCUUUUCCUUUAGGCCACUCUCAGCAGGGGUGUCCGAGGUGGAUGUCCUUCAGCCCUGCAUGGUUAUGUAUUUGUUUUUUUGUGUGUAUUUGAAUGGUGUGACUUAUUGAUACAUUCAACCUUUUUAUUGUGAGGUCAAUAACCUGUGCUGAACCAAGCAUUAAAUUCUCUGCUCUAUUAAAAGGGUUUUUUUUAUGGGCAAAUUUUGAAGUUUUAUUGAAUUAAUAAAAGUAAUUUUAUGGGGAA